rnacentral:rRNA from 1 species
UACGUAGGCAGCAAGCGUUGUUCGGAGUUACUGGGCGUAAAGGGUGUGUAGGCGGUUGCUUAAGUUUGGUGUGAAAUCUCCCGGCUCAACUGGGAGGGUGCGCCGAAUACUGAGUGACUAGAGUGCGGGAGAGGAGAGUGGAAUUCCUGGUGUAGCGGUGAAAAUGCGUAGAUAUCAGGAGGAACACCGGUGGUGUAGACGGCUCUCUGGACCGUAACUGACGCUGAGACACGAAAAGCGUGGGUAGCAAACAGG